rnacentral:rRNA from 1 species
UUUCGCAAUGCCCGAAAGGGUGACGAAGCGACGCCGCGUGUGGGAAGAAGGCCUUCGGGUUGUAAACCACUGUCGGGAGUUAAGAAAUGUAAGGGUGCUAAUAGUAUCCUUACUUGACUAAGGCUCCGGAGGAAGCCACGGCUAACUCUGUGCCAGCAGCCGCGGUAAUACAGAGGCGGCAAGCGUUGUUCGGAAUUAUUGGGCGUAAAGAGCACGUAGGCGGCCUUGUAAGUCAGUUGUGAAAGCCUUCUGCUUAACGGAAGAACAGCAUCUGAUACUGCAAGGCUAGAGUGCGGAAGGGGAGAGUGGAACUUCUGGUGGAGCGGUGGAAUGCGUAGAUAUCAGAAGGAACACCGGCGGCGAAGGCGACUCUCUGGUCCGUAACUGACGCUGAGUGUGCGAAAGCUAGGGGAGCAAACGGGAUUAGAUACCCCGGUAGUCCUAGCCGUAAACGAUGGGCACUAAGUAGAGGGGUUUUA